CCUACGGGAGGCAGCAGUGGGGAAUUUUGCGCAAUGGGGGAAACCCUGACGCAGCAACGCCGCGUGAGUGAUGAAGGCCUUCGGGUCGUAAAGCUCUGUCAGAGGGAAAGAAGUGUAGUAUGGCUAAUACCCGUGCUACUUGACGGUACCCUCAAAGGAAGCACCGGCUAACUCCGUGCCAGCAGCCGCGGUAAU
rnacentral:rRNA from 1 species